rnacentral:tRNA from 1 species
AGGAAGGAGUAGGUUAUAACUAAACUUUUAGCUUGUGGUGCUAUAGAACUAAAUUAUUUAGCUUUUUCAC